UACGUAGGGCGCAAGCGUUGUCCGGAAUUAUUGGGCGUAAAGAGCUCGUAGGCGGCCAGUUGCGUCCGCUGUGAAAUCCCGGGGCUUAACCCCGGGCGUGCAGUGGAUACGGGCUGGCUAGAGGCAGGCAGGGGAGAACGGAAUUCCCGGUGUAGCGGUGAAAUGCGCAGAUAUCAGGAGGAACACCGGUGGCGAAGGCGGCAUCCUGGACCGGCACUGACGCUGAGGAGCGAAAGCCAGGGGAGCAAACGGG
rnacentral:rRNA from 1 species